UACGUAGGGUGCGAGCGUUGUCCGGAAUUACUGGGCGUAAAGAGCUCGUAGGUGGUUUGUCGCGUUGUUCGUGAAAUCUCACGGCUUAACUGUGAGCGUGCGGGCGAUACGGGCAGACUUGAGUACUGCAGGGGAGACUGGAAUUCCUGGUGUAGCGGUGAAAUGCGUAGAUAUCGGGAGGAACGCCGGUGGCGAAAGCGACUGUCUGGGGUGCCUGUGACGCUGAGGCGCGAAAGCCAGGGGAUCAAACGGG
rnacentral:rRNA from 1 species